UACGUAGGGUGCAAGCGUUGUCCGGAAUUAUUGGGCGUAAAGAGCUCGUAGGCGGUUUGUCGCGUCUGCUGUGAAAACCCGAGGCUCAACCUCGGGCCUGCAGUGGGUACGGGCAGACUAGAGUGCGGUAGGGGAGAUUGGAAUUCCUGGUGUAGCGGUGAAAUGCGCAGAUAUCAGGAGAAACACCGGUGGCGAAGGCGGGUCUCUGGGCCGGUACCGACGCUGAGGAGCGAAAGCGUGGGGAGCGAACAGG
rnacentral:rRNA from 1 species